AUUGAACGCUGGCGGCAGGCUUAACACAUGCAAGUCGAGCGGAGAGAGGUAGCUUGCUACCGAUCUUAGCGGCGGACGGGUGAGUAAUGCUUAGGAAUCUGCCUAUUAGUGGGGGACAACAUUUCGAAAGGAAUGCUAAUACCGCAUACGUCCUACGGGAGAAAGCAGGGGAUCUUCGGACCUUGCGCUAAUAGAUGAGCCUAAGUCGGAUUAGCUAGUUGGUGGGGUAAAGGCCUACCAAGGCGACGAUCUGUAGCGGGUCUGAGAGGAUGAUCCGCCACACUGGGACUGAGACACGGCCCAGACUCCUACGGGAGGCAGCAGUGGGGAAUAUUGGACAAUGGGCGCAAGCCUGAUCCAGCCAUGCCGCGUGUGUGAAGAAGGCCUUAUGGUUGUAAAGCACUUUAAGCGAGGAGGAGGCUACUUUAGUUAAUACCUAGAGAUAGUGGACGUUACUCGCAGAAUAAGCACCAGCUAACUCUGUGCCAGCCGCCGCGGUAA
rnacentral:rRNA from 1 species